UACGGAGGGAGCAAGCGUUACUCGGAAUUAUUGGGCGUAAAGGGCGCGUAGGCGAUCCUGUAUGUCUCGUGUGAAAUCCCAGGGCUUAACCCUGGAAUGGCAAGAGAAACUGCUGGAAUUGAGUUCCGGAGAGGAAGGCAGAAUUCCCGGUGUAGCGGUGAAAUGCGUAGAUAUCGGGAGGAAUACCAGUGGCGAAGGCGGCCUUCUGGACGGAUACGUGACGCUGAGGCGCGAAAGCCAGGG
rnacentral:rRNA from 1 species